ACGCUAGCUACAGGCUUAACACAUGCAAGUCGAGGGGCAGCAUGGUCUUAGCUUGCUAAGGCCGAUGGCGACCGGCGCACGGGUGAGUAACACGUAUCCAACCUGCCGUCUACUCUUGGACAGCCUUCUGAAAGGAAGAUUAAUACAAGAUGGCAUCAUGAGUCCGCAUGUUCACAUGAUUAAAGGUAUUCCGGUAGACGAUGGGGAUGCGUUCCAUUAGAUAGUAGGCGGGGUAACGGCCCACCUAGUCUUCGAUGGAUAUGGGUUCUGAGAGGAAGGUCCCCCACAUUGGAACUGAGACACGGUCCAAACUCCUACGGGAGGCAGCAGUGAGGAAUAUUGGUCAAUGGGCGAGAGCCUGAACCAGCCAAGUAGCGUGAAGGAUGACUGCCCUAUGGGUUGUAAACUUCUUUUAUAAAGGAAUAAAGUCGGGUAUGCAUACCCGUUUGCAUGUACUUUAUGAAUAAGGAUCGGCUAACUCCGUGCCAGCAGCCGCGGUAAUACGGAGGAUCCGAGCGUUAUCCGGAUUUAUUGGGUUUAAAGGGAGCGUAGAUGGAUGUUUAAGUCAGUUGUGAAAGUUUGCGGCUCAACCGUAAAAUUGCAGUUGAUACUGGAUAUCUUGAGUGCAGUUGAGGCAGGCGGAAUUCGUGGUGUAGCGGUGAAAUGCUUAGAUAUCACGAAGAACUCCGAUUGCGAAGGCAGCCUGCUAAGCUGCAACUGACAUUGAGGCUCGAAAGUGUGGGUAUCAAACAGGAUUAGAUACCCUGGUAGUCCACACGGUAAACGAUGAAUACUCGCUGUUUGCGAUAUACGGCAAGCGGCCAAGCGAAAGCGUUAAGUAUUCCACCUGGGGAGUACGCCGGCAACGGUGAAACUCAAAGGAAUUGACGGGGGCCCGCACAAGCGGAGGAACAUGUGGUUUAAUUCGAUGAUACGCGAGGAACCUUACCCGGGCUUAAAUUGCAGAUGAAUUACGGUGAAAGCCGUAAGCCGCAAGGCAUCUGUGAAGGUGCUGCAUGGUUGUCGUCAGCUCGUGCCGUGAGGUGUCGGCUUAAGUGCCAUAACGAGCGCAACCCUUGUUGUCAGUUACUAACAGGUUCCGCUGAGGACUCUGACAAGACUGCCAUCGUAAGAUGUGAGGAAGGUGGGGAUGACGUCAAAUCAGCACGGCCCUUACGUCCGGGGCUACACACGUGUUACAAUGGGGGGUACAGAGGGCCGCUACCACGCGAGUGGAUGCCAAUCCCAAAAACCUCUCUCAGUUCGGACUGGAGUCUGCAACCCGACUCCACGAAGCUGGAUUCGCUAGUAAUCGCGCAUCAGCCACGGCGCGGUGAAUACGUUCCCGGGCCUUGUACACACCGCCCGUCAAGCCAUGGGAGCCGGGGGUACCUGAAGUGCGUAACCGCGAGGAGCGCCCUAGGGUAAAACUGGUGACUGGGGCUAA
rnacentral:rRNA from 1 species